rnacentral:lncRNA from 1 species
GCUGGUGCCGGCGUUAAUCCAACGUCGGUACCGUGCUAUAUAUGUUUUCCGGAUCGUUGUAUAGUAUUGUUUGGUUUUAAGUUUCCGGUUUUUCCGGAUCUUUUGUUUCCAUUAAUCGGAUAGUAAUCUCCGGCGUAAACCGGUAAUAAAUUCCGACUUGUUCGAAUUUAUUUUUUAGUUUCCUCCUUUUGCUUGUUUUAUUUGAAUUCCGAAAGAGUUAGUUGUGUGUUGUUUCAUUGGUGCUUGUUUCUUCCUCCACGGUGUGUAAAUCCUCGUUCUCCUUGAAGGAAUAUUGAGCGAUGGUUCUUCAUGGAUGAGAAAUUAACAAGAUGAAGCAGCUGUUUGGUGAGGAGUAUGACGAAUUAGAGUUUGUCGUCGUGUUUUGAUGCUUCUCUAAUGAAUAUUACGCAAUCGAUCAAGCUGAGGAAAAUUUCCGAUGGAUCAAGUUUUAGUUUACUAGACAUCUUCCGGCGAAAUCGCAAAAGGAGUCAAGUCGGUACCAACCACUACGAGCUUCAAAGAAGAAGAAAAGAAGAUUUGUAAAAUAUUACCGGCGUUGAAAUUCCCGGCGGUGAACGUUCCCGGCGAGAGAUGUAUCACAGCGGUGAUACGUGUAAGAUGGAGCUUCUGAUCUAUCUGCUAAGGUGGCCACGUGGAGA